AUUGAACGCUGGCGGCAGGCCUAACACAUGCAAGUCGAACGAGUGGCGGACGGGUGAGUAAUGUCUGGGAAACUGCCCGAUGGAGGGGGAUAACUACUGGAAACGGUAGCUAAUACCGCAUACUAUCGGAUGUACCCAUAUGGGAUUAGCUAGUAGGUGGGGUAACGGCUCACCUAGGCGACGAUCCCUAGCUGGUCUGAGAGGAUGACCAGCCACACUGGGACUGAGACACGGCCCAGACUCCUACGGGAGGCAGCAGUGGGGAAUAUUGCACAAUGGGCGCAAGCCUGAUGCAGCCAUGCCGCGUGUAUGAAGAAGGCCUUCGGGUUGUAAAGUACUUUCAGCGAGGAGGCGUUACCCGCAGAAGAAGCACCGGCUAACUCCGUGCCAGCAGCCGCGGUAAUUC
rnacentral:rRNA from 1 species